ensembl:lncRNA novel transcript, antisense to FAR2
AAUAUAGUUUUGCAUCUGUUUUUGCACCAAUAUAUUACAAGGCUUUUUGUGUCAUUUACUAUUUUAUAAAACAUGAUUCUUAAUGCCUGGAUACUUGUCUAACACUUGUAUAUAUUGUUUAUUUAGUCAUUCCUCUAUUGUGGAACAUUUAAAUUGGAUCCAAGUUUACUAUAAGUAAUACUACAAUAAAAAUAUCUAUACAUUAUUUGUGGUGUCUCUGGCUGUUGUCUUGGAGUGACACCUUAAUUAUCUUUGUGAGAAAGUCCUCAAGAAUCCUGCCAUUAAUUCAUAUACUUUCCCCCCACUGGUAUGUCCCUUUAAGUGCUCUGAAAAUACUUAAGAAACUUAGUAAUAAGAAAGAAAAUUAAUCUUCUUUUUCGAUUCUUCACUUCUAGUUCUCUGUGGCCAAUGGAUUUUUUAAAAUCCCUUUGUCUAGAGCAUCUCCCAUUUAAUAGUUUCUCUUUGACAGCAGGGAAACUGGAAGUCAGAUGUGAUAUCUAUGCAUACCAUAAAAGGAAAAGAAGGAAGCAGAUGUCUGAAUUUUGAUACAUAGAACAGAUGUCCUUUUGAUCACAUUUCCUGGGGGAUGUAGUUGUAAUCAAAGGCCAACUGGUAACAUUUUUGGUUACUAUGUUUUAAAAAAAAAUUUCCAAGCCUCACAUAGCUGACAUGGUUUAUUACCUUCAGGAACACUGUAGUACUUGCAGUGAGUUAGAAUUCAUUCAUUAUUAUGUGUGACUGGAGAGAUGUAUUGCUUAAAAGCUAUACCAGGCCCUACUUAGGAAUAAGUUACAACUGCAUUAAAUCACUCUGUUUGUGUCAAACUCGUUAAAGUUAAAUGGCAGAAUCUAGAGGGGGACUUGAUUAACAUGAGAUAAUAAAUAUUUGCAGAAUCUGAUGCCUACCAGAAGAAACUCUGACCCAGACAGGAUCAUUGCAUAAGAGGUUGGUUUUAGAAGUAGAGUUGGCUGAAAUUAAAGUCUCGAGUGACAUGAAGACAGUGUUAAAGAUAAAUCCAAACUCUUCUUUAUUGCUUGACACUUUUCCAAUCAGCAUUGACUUCAUUCCUGGCAAGCUGAUGUAACAUGAAUGAGUUAUGAAGCCAAAGAUCGCAAGAAGAGCACACUUCUUAACAGCCACUUCAGAGGUGACAGCCAGGGAAUAAGAAAUAAGGAAGAACUUUCCAGAGGAUGGAGCCACCACAAAUAAUAAUGGAAAAGAAGGUUCCUCCCAGAGAUUAGAUUUAGAGGCUAUUUAAGGAAUUUCCCCACUCCCAGUGUAGGAAGCUUCUCAAUACUCGCUAAUCAGGAUUUCCUUAUGGUUAUAUUCUAGGGACUGCUGCUUGCCUGCCUGUCUUCUCUUUUUUGAAUAGAAGGUGUCUUUGUUUGUUUGAUUUUAUUUUUUCUUCAACUUCGCUGUUCUACAAUGACAAGAGAUAGAACAGAGACAUUUUCUACCUCAACAUUGGGAGGCAGAAAAUUCACCUUUUUAUCCAAGAAUACCAAACCAGAAGCUGAAAUAUCUGGAUCUGAUAGAGAGGAUAGUCUAUUCCCCCUUGGACUUUGGACUGGAUGCAAUAAUGGUAUGAGACCCUGGGGUAGGAAUGAGUGUCUUCUAUGUGUGGGAAAGAGAGGAAAGCAGAUAUUUGGCGACCUAAAAAGAAGGCCAUGGCAGAACCUCAUUAGUUGUUCAACAAUCCUAUUUUCCUUUUCUCCUGGACACACAGCUAUGCAUUUUCCAGCCAUCCUUGUGGUUAGAUGCCCAGUGACAGUUCUGAGAAUGGAAUAUGGACAGAUGUGAUAGGCACUUCUGGGCCUGGGCCACAAAAACCUUCCACAUGAUGUCCAGUGCCUCUUUUACCCCACUGACAGUUUUUUAUUGUCAUCCAGAGAGACCUUGGAUGGUUUAGAAGCCAUGUGUAGAAGAUGGCAACCUUCCCUUAGCAUGGAUCCUUGAAUGACUGUGGAGUGCAAUGCCUUCUACCAAUUACACCUACUGUGUUUGAGAAUCAAAUUUCAUUUGUAUUAAGCUACUGAUUUGGGGGGUUUAUCUCCUUCAGCACCCACAUUAGUACAACUCAUGCAGAAUGGAGAGUUAAUGUGAACACAUAUGGCACAGACUGGUGAAACCUAGGACUUUAAGAUGAUAGAUGAAUUUCUGAUUAUACUUUCCUUUCCCGCAAAAAGUUUUUUUCAAAUUAAAUGUUGUAAUAUAAAUGUGAAUUCUUAAAUAUCUUUCUAAUGAAAUGAUGACUAACUAUAGAAAAGAGAAUGCAGGAAUAUAUACAUCCUUGAUAAGAGUGUGAAACUGUUACAGGCAAUCUAGAGGGUCUUGCCUAGGGAUAACGAACAAAAUAACAUACCUGGGUAAAAGAAAUGAGAGGUUACUGAUAAAAAACUAACAUUUAGCCGGGAGUAGUGGCUCAUGCCUGUAAUCCCAAUACUUUGGGAGGCCGAGGCAGGCAGAUCGCCUGAGGUCAGGAGUUUGAGACAAGCCUGGCCAACAUGGUGAAACCCCAUCUCUAUCAGAAAUACAAAAAUUAGCUAGGCAUGGUGGCGGGUGCCUGUAAUCCCAGCUACUUGGGAGGCUGAGGCAGGAGAAUCACUUGAACCCGGGUGGUGGAGGUUGCAGUGAGCAGAGAUUGUGCCACUCCACUCCAGCCUGGGUGACAGAGCUAGACUUCAUCUCAAAAAAAAAAAAAAUUAUAUUGCACAAUAUAAAACAUUAUUUUAUACUUAGGAUCACAUUUGAUCUUUGCAAAUCCAUAUGAAAUAGCUAUUAUUAUCAGAUACAGUUUAUGAAUAAUAAAAACAAGACUCAUAUGGGUUAGGUAACUAGGCCAUGGUCUCUCUACCAAGCUCUAUCUCUCUGAUUGAGGAGAGAGUAUCUAGAGCAUCAGUGUUCUUUUUACUGCCUUAUGCUACCUCCCAGUACAGGUAUAACAACUAAACCUACAAGUAACCUGCAAUUGAGGGUUUAGACUUUUAGCAUCUUUAACCAUCCAAAACAUAGCUGUGGGACCAAAAAGCAAAAAACAGUUUACAAAAGCCCAUAUUUAUUGCACCAAGAAAAAGCCAUGUCUGUGAAAUAUUGCUUAGAAUUUGUGUACUAAACUCAGCAUAAUGAAUUAACAAACUCAGUGACCUCAUUUUCUCCUAGAUUACAAUAAAUGGAAGACUUAAAAUGAUGAGAAAAAUAAACACAGAAAACCUCAAUUAACAGGGUAGAGGAUGACCUAUUGAAAGAUUGGGCAUUCAUGUGUGGGAGGUAAAGGCAAGUCCUGUGAGUGGUAGGCAGUCCGAGGCAAGUGUUCUCUCUUUUUGUUGUUUGAUUCUAAAUUUAUGACAACUGAAGAAAGGGCCUUGGCCUGGUCUGGAUCAACUUGGUAUGGAGCCCAUGAGAAAUGAAAGAUGAUUCAUAAACAUACCUAAUUCAUCCCAGGCAACAGCAGAAAUGACCAUGAAAAAUGAGCCAUCUGAGAAUUCUCAACGAUUCUUGGAGAAUGUCAUUAAUUACAUUUUUAUUACAGGGCAGGGAUGCCCAAGCUGACAUAUGGGUUACAAAGGCAAAGUAGAAUUUCCCUCUAUGGGUUUUGUUAAUGUAAAAUAUAAAUUAAUAAGCUUUUUGCUUUUACUAAUAUGAAACAUACCCAUCAAUUAGUUGUCUUCAAUUCAGAAAGAACUAAACUAGAGUUCGAUAGUAUCUUAAAUCCAAAAAAUAAAAAUAAAAACCCAACCAGCAGCCAUUUGCUGAAUUCCUGAGUGCUUAGGAGUCUCCAUUUCUAGUCUAGCAAAUGUCUUCCAGUUGCAAUUUUAAACAUUUUUCCCAGAUCUUUCAAGAAACCUGUAAUAGUAUCAAGUCCAGCACACAAAGCUAGCUUUCUGUAAGCAAUCAGUCUCAUCUACCCACCUUUACUUUAUACAGCCUCCUAAAUUCAACCUUAGAAUAAAAAGUACUUUUUUGUUGUUAAAAGUCUGUUCUCUAGCCAGGUGUGGUGGCUCAUGCCUGUAGUCCCAGCACUUUGGGAGGCUGAGACCAGAAGAUUGCUUGAAACCAGGAGUUUGAGAUCAGCCUGUACAAUGUAGUGAGACCACCAUGUCUUAAAAAAAAAAAAAUUAAAAACAAUAGCUGGGCAUGGUGUCACAUAUUUGUGGUCCCAGCUACUUGGGAGGCUGAGGUGGGUGGAUCACGUGAGCCCGGGAGGUUGAGGCUGCAGUGAACAAUGAUCAUGCAGUGCCCUCCAGCCUUAGUGAUAAGAGUGAGACCAUGUCUCAGAAAUUUAAAAAAAGUCUAUCCUCUGCCUCUAAGGGACUUUGUUGUUAUAAAACUACUGAAAAUUUGUAUAAAUAUAUCUUAUUAAAUAUAAACAUAUUUUAUUAAAACUAUUGAAAAUAUAUAUAAACCAGGUGUGGUGGCUCACACUUGUAAUCCUAGCACUUUGGGAGACUGAGGCAGGAGGACUGUUUGAGGCCACAAGUUCAAGACCAGCCUAAGCAACAUAGUGAGAUCCCAUCUGUACAAAAAUUUGAAAAUUAGCCAGCUUUGGCAGUGUGUGCCUGUAUUCCCAGCAACUCAGGAGGUUGAGGCAAGAGAAUCCUUUGAACCCAGGAGUUUAAGGUUACAGUGAGCUGAUUGUGAACUGUACUCCAACCUGGGCAACAGAGUGAGACCCUAUC